UUCAACGGCCGCGGUACUCUAACCGUGCGAAGGUAGCGUAAUCACUUGUCUUCUAAAUAAAGACUAGUAUGAAAGGCACCACGAGAACUAAACUGUCUCCCUUUUCCAAUCAGUGAACCUAAUCUUCCCGUGAAGAAGCGGGAAUUUUUAAAUAAGACGAGAAGACCCUAUGGAGCUUAAAACACUAUUACACCUGCCCCUUACAAACCACCACAGGAUGAUUAUACGUUUUCGGUUGGGGUGACCACGGAGAAAAACCCAUCCUCCACGAUGAAAGGACCUACUCCUAAACAAAAAGCAACAGCUUUAAAUAUCAGUAAACUGACUCUAUUGACCCAAUAAAUUGAUUAACGAACCAAGUUACCCUAGGGAUAACAGCGCAAUCCACUUCAAGAGCCCCUAUCGACAAGUGGGCUUACGACCUCGAUGUUGGAUCAGGGUAUCCUAGUGGUGCA
rnacentral:rRNA from 1 species